UUGGUUGGCCUGCUGCUGUCAGCGACAACUGAGAGGGGCCCCCUUGAGGGGAAUCCCGAUAACAGUGUCAUUACAUGUUACUGCAUUGACGAUCAAAGGGGCGCUCACACAGUGUCGUUGCAUUUUAUUCUUAACCAGUCGUUGUCUUGGGGCCCCAGGUCAGCUCGGGGCCCCAAGCAAUUGCUUGGUUUGCCUGCCUUGUUGCGACGGGCCUGAUCACUGCUUCCUAACAAACUAUCUCUAAAGGUAUCUCUUAACAUCUGAGAACUUGUCAUUAAAAACUGGCAAUAAUUCAAGUUGCCUUAUUCUAACAAAGUUUGGUGCAGAUCUUCUAAAGUCUAGGUGUGCGUGAGCUCAUGAAAUGCGCUCUGGUGAGGAUGGAAAUAUGAAGUUGAUUUUAGAGGGCUGUCACUCUUUUCUUCAUCUUAAUCUGGCCUUCACUCAUGUCAAGGAAAUAGCAGCCUUAGGAACCAACCAGAGUCUGAGAAAACAGAUAUUGGAAUAAAGGUUUGGUUUACCUUUUUAUGACUUAUAUAAAUUUAUGACUUGCAAUGUAUUUGCCAUCGGAUUACUCUCUGUGGAAAAGUUAAUCACAUUCAUGUGGUGAUCUUAUCUUGUGCAGAUGUUUUGCCAACAGUGUCAUAAUCUGGAGCUUCUAGAUGUGUGUAACUGUGUGUGUCUGUCUGAUCAAAGCCCUCUCCUU